rnacentral:rRNA from 1 species
AUCUGGGCGGCGGAAUUCAGGACGGUCGGGCGGGCUUCGCGCUCGUCGGGCCGUUUGAUAUUUCCGUCGCCGUGUCAGACGUCGCGACCUGUUCGUCGUCGGUCCUUGCUCGGAGGAAGCGCGAUCGAGUUCGUUGCGGGCGCGUUUCGGCGCGUUCCGCGGCGAAGACGCGACUCUCUGGCUGACGACGGACAGUAAGCAACGGUGUCUGGCGUCGUGUCUCGCACUCGACGUCGGUGCCGGUCGGCGACGAUUUCUUCGGGCCUCUUUCCGACCCGUCUUGAAACACGGACCAAGGAGUCUAACAUGCGCGCGAGUCGCGGGGUUUCGAGCGUGCCACGGUGCGCUCGUUACUUCCGAAACCCGUACGUUGAAGGCGUAAUGAAAGUGAACAGGGAAGAUGGCGUUCCGAGUCCACGUACCGUGAUCGAGUAUCGCGGCCGGACGUCCGCACUCCCGGGGCGUCUCAAUGGCUCGCCACGGAUGCGGACGGUCGUCUUUCGGGGCGGCCGUCGGUCUGUGGCGGUCCGA